AUUGAACGCUGGCGGCAGGCCUAACACAUGCAAGUCGAGCGAGCGGCGGACGGGUGAGUAAUGUCUGGGAAACUGCCUGAUGGAGGGGGAUAACUACUGGAAACGGUAGCUAAUACCGCAUACCAUCGGAUGUGCCCAGAUGGGAUUAGCUAGUUGGUGGGGUAACGGCUCACCUAGGCGACGAUCCCUAGCUGGUCUGAGAGGAUGACCAGCCACACUGGAACUGAGACACGGUCCAGACUCCUACGGGAGGCAGCAGUGGGGAAUAUUGCACAAGGGGCGCAAGCCUGAUGCAGCCAUGCCGCGUGUAUGAAGAAGGCCUUCGGGUUGGAAAGCACUUUCAGCGAGGAGGCGUUACUCACAGAAGAAGCACCGGCUAACUCCGUGCCAGCAGCCGCGGUAAUUC
rnacentral:rRNA from 1 species